CAAAAAGUUAAUCGUUGGCAUAUAAAUGGAUGGGUUCCCCCUAUUCUUUCUACCUUCACGGGUAACAUACAUCCAUCUUUGUGGAGACUGGCAACUGCUGCCGGCAAUGUCACUUUGUCCCGUCCUUUUAAUAAUGAGAGUUUUGAUAUUCAAGCUUGUGUACCUGCUCCAUAUGUGUUAUUAAUUAGCCGCAACAAUCACUCUAGUAUUGUUAUAGAAAACAAGAAAAAACAUUAUGUUAGUUCUUGUAAAAAUUGUAUACUGACCAGUUGUAUAAAUCCUGCAAUUCCUGUUGAAAGUAUGAUGAUUUUACAACAGCCAAAAUAUAUUAUGAUUCCUGUACAUUUACAAGAAGAUUGGUAUGAUGAUUCAGGCCUAGAAGCCUUAAAACAAGCUUCUGCUAUUUUAUCUCGAGCCAAACGGUUUGUAGCAGCUUUAAUACUGGGGAUUUCUGCUCUCAUAGCUUUAGCAACUUCUCUUUCACUUUCUGCUAUGGCGUUAACACAACAGAUUCAUACUGCAAACUAUGUAAAUAAUUUAAGUAAAAAUAUUACUUUAGCCUUAGCCACACAAGAAGCCAUUGAUAGAAAAUUACAACAAGAAGUUAAUGCCCUUGAAGAAGCAAUUCUAUAUAUAGGACAAGAAAUCACUAAUCUCAAAGUGCGACUUACUUUGAGAUGCCAUUCAUCUUCCGAAUCUUAAAUCAAGCUAUCCAAAAGGUGGCUUCAGAUCUUCAUCUGGCGAAAUUAAAAAAUAAGAAAGGGGGAGAUGCUGGGAGCCAGGCUGCAAGGGCGGCCCCUCUGCACCCACUGCCCCCAGCAUAAACAUCGAAGAAUUCCUGAAAAGUCAGGAAUAUCUCUGUCAUCUGUGUUAUGUGUCUAUUUCAUUUUCAGCCUGUGUAUAGCAGAAUGUAUAAGCAUAAAAUUCCAUUAUAGAUUUAGGGACCUUUGGACGGGGGGCGUCCUACUCAUAAUCCUCUGGUGAAAUCUCGGGUAGGGACAGCCCAUGUGUUACUUGGGGAUCAACAUGAAGUUGUCUUAGGGGAAAAAACAAAUAGCUCGACUAUGGAAAACAAGAAUAGGAUGGUGAAAUCCUGGUAUUUACCAAGGCCCUUUUUGUGAUUAAACCACCACCCACACAUGACCCCAUAAAAGUGGAAAAACAAAAGGCAGUGAGUUCUCUCAGCCAAUCUCUCAGCCAAUUACAGGUCAACUUUCUCGUCCACCCCGCUCACUGCUGCGCUUGACUGGUCUUUGGGUAUAGAGAUUGGGCUAAUUGUCCUUGGCAUAAUCGUGGACAAUAUGACGUAACCCAAAGUGGCUGGGCUUCAAGAACUUGACCACCCUGGACAAGAUGGACAAAGCCUAUGUAACAAUGAUUUUGCAAAAAGAUUAAUUAUUAUAAAAACUGUGGAAGGUAUUGCAAGAUUAAGCAUAAGUGUAAAGCAAUAUGAAGUCAAUUAUUAUUUUGUGUAAAAAUAUAUCAACAAAAUAUUCUCUUCAAUUAAACAAAAAACUCAUUGUACUUGUGUAUGUAUGCGGAACUGUACUAUGUGUCACUUGGAAAAUUAUGUCUCUGGGAAAUGAUGUUUAUGAUUAUAUCUUGUACUGCCCCUUUAUUGAUCAUGCGAUGUUAUGCUUUUGUAAGCUUAUGAUAUAAAAGACCAUGUAAAAAAUAAAGAGCAGAGCCUUCUUUUUCUGCAGAAUGAAAAUAU